UCUCUUUUAUCUAUAAAAAUGUGACGAUGGGGCUUAGAAAAGUGUAUCCGACACUCUCUUUAUUAGAACUUUGAUUCCCUAUAUCUGCUGAGUCAGAAAGGAAUUCGAUUCUUUUCUUUGGAUGCAAGCUUUGCAGUACAUUUUGUUUUUGAAAACUUUGAUGUCCAAGGCUUAUAAAAGGCCCUCGAACCUCAGUUGUUAAGGAAUCAGAUAUUGAGCUCUUCAGUCGCUACCCUACUUUCGGUGCCUCGUUGAGUCUCAAGUCCUGUAAGUCUUUGUUUUAAGCAUGUGCGAGUAGUAGUUAUGCGACUUUCUUUUAGAGUCCCUGAGUUAUGAUGUAAGACGGUUUAUACCGAUAGCUUCUUGUGCUCAGUUAGUAGAUUGAUGUUUAAUGAAAUGAUUGUCUCUCAUUUCUGCCCUACUUAAAUGAAAUUAGUUUUGCGAAAGGAGAUCUUUAAAAAUUCUAUUUCACAAAUCUGCCUUAUUUCUGAAAACACUGAUUUAAGAACUCUUUGUUAUCUGUCUUUUUGUUCAAAACCCCGAAGACUAUUAAGGCCGUAGUGAUCAACUGGAGUAUUUGUUGGGAUGCUAGCUCAAUCUUUGAGGCGAGUUCUUCGGUUCUAACCUUUGUAGGUUUAGGGUUGUUAGGGUCGAAUUCAAGUGUCCUAACAAUUCUUUCUAUUUCUGUAGUUCGGUUGUCUAACCGAUCUAUAAUUUGUUUAGCAGUUUCUUGAUCCGAUUUUUUAACUUGAUUUAAAACUUUCUGAACAAUUUGUGAUAUUCUUUCUUGUCCAUCCUUUUUGAAGUUUCUAACUACUUCUUUUAGAGAUAGAAUUUCUUCUUUUAGAUAGUCUAGAUUGCUAGAUAUCUUUUCUAGAGAAACUUUGGUUCUUUCACGUUUACUUGAAAGUCGAUCAAAACCUUCUUUGAUUUCAAAGUUUGAGUCUUUUAACUGGUAAAAUCUUUUGAGUUCGGAACAUAGUUCUUUUUUCAAAAGUUUUUAUUAGAUCAAAGAUAGUAGGUCUGUCUGGAUCUAAUCCUUGUAUUCCUAGUUCUCUUUGGGUAUGGAGAACUUCGCCGUAGAUGCUAUUAGAUAACCCUAUGACACUGGAAACUUUGUCUUUGUACUCGUCUUCAAUGUGUCUGAAGUGAGUAAAGUUUUCAAAUCCUUUAGAUUUAGCAAUACAGAAAUCUUCAAAUUUUUUGAUUUUUGAUUUUUUGUUACUAGACAUUAAAGUAAAACUAACUAUGCAAAAUUCUUCAAGAAGAACAUGACUCUGAUACCAUUUCGUUUGAACAGAUCUUAAAGCAAUAAACACAAUAAAACUACUAUUUAUCAAUUGAGUAUUUUAGCAUAAGAGAGAUAACAAGCAAGGUAUUAAUUGAAGGCAAUACUCUUUCUAGAGUAUGAGUUAAUAAUAACAAGGCCCAACCAAUCUUCCGCAACCAGUUUUCGAUCUAUUUUUAAAUUGCAAGCUCUCCAGAUCCCUUAAAAACUUCAUUAGCAUUUGCAAAACUCUUUCUUAGUUAAACUAUUCACCACCGCCUUUAUCUUAAUCACAAAAUGUGAAAGAAACAAAGUCUAAUAUCUUCUUGUUGUGACAACCUUAACAACUAAUAAGGACUCAUCUUUGAACAACCCAAAACGGCCUCCUGCCUACAGGGUUUGUUCUCACUACGACUUUAAUAGUCUUCGGGGUUUUGGACAAAAAGCCAGAUAACAAAGAGUUCUUAAAUCAGUGUUUUAAAAAAUAAGGCAUAUUUGUGAAAUAGAAUUUUUAAAGAUCUCCUUUCGCAAAACUAAUUUCAUUUAAGUAGGGCAGAAAUGAGAAACAAGCAUUUCAUUAAACAUCCAUCUACUAACUGAGCACAAGAAGCUAUCGAUAUAAACCGUCUUACAUCAUAACUCAGGGACUCUAAAAGAGAGUCGCAUGACUACUACUCACACAUGCUUAAAACAAAGACUUACAGGACUUGAGACUCAACGAGGCACCGAAAGUUGCUUAGCUUUUCCCAAGUAGGGGAGUGACUGAAGAGCUCAAGAUCUGAUUCCUUAACAACUGAAGUUCGAGGGCCUUUUAUAAACCUUGGACAUCAAAGUUUCAAAAACAAAAUGGACGACAAAGCUUGCAUUCGAAAAAACAAAAUCGGAUGCCUUUCUGACUCUUUAGACAUAGGGAAUCAAUGUUUUAAUAAAGAGAGUGCCGAGUACACUUUUUUGGGCCCCAUUACCACACUUUUCUAGAUAAAAGAGAUUUCUUUUUACAAGACAACAAAAACUAAAGACUAAAGCCUAAGAUGGUUAAUAUUCCAUCUGAUUGUCCAGGUUGGCUAUCUGGAUGUCGUCCAUUUCUUCAUCUUGAUACGAUAGAUUGUCUGGGGUUGAAAUGGUCAUAUCUGUGUCCCAGAAAUUAUCUUUCAACUCUCCUUCGAGCAUUUUGUAGGUCUUCAGCCUUGUGUUUAUUUCGCCAGCUUGGAUUCUUUUGAAGAGCCUUGAUUUAUCAACCUGAUGUUGAUAUGGAGUGGCAAUGAUGGUGUGGCUUCCUUCAGAUAUGAUAGUGUCUCUGCAGGCCCAGAGCUUAGGCACGAAGCUUUUGAAGGUCUUUCUCCUGAGAUUUCAAUAUACGGACAAGGGAAGGUCCAUUAGGGUUUUUCUCCGGGUUUUGGAGAAUUCUGAUAAACUGGUAAACUAGUAGGAAUUUAUUGGUUUCAUGAAUCCAUUCAGGUGGUAUAGUUAUGAAUUUCAGACGAAGGACAAUUUUCUGGACGAUGGUUUCUUAGGGUGUUGACAAGGAUAUUGGGUAGCCCUUUGAGAUCUGAAUUGUCAGCGGUCCAAAGGUUCUUGAUGAACGUGUUUUCAUAUAACCAGAGCUUCUGGUCUUGGGGAUGUUCAGCAGAGAGAGUGCAUUGGUAAAAGGCGGGGGGUGAACUAAUUCGUCUUUUGAGAGAAUUAGGCCAUUGGUGGUUUGGAUUGGCAAGCUGUGUAUGAAAUUCAUACCAAUUUUGUUCUGGGAUAGUGUCUGGAGGGAUACGACAUCUUUUGGGGUCUAUCCCGAUAUUUUGAACAGAAGUAUCAGUCUCAGCCACUGGUCUUUUAACCAUUUUUGAACAAUGGAUUUCACUUAGCCGUGAGGCUAAGGCCUUCAUAGUUAACAUAAAGGACUUUUUAUUAGCCAUGUCAUAAUUAAUUACAUGGUAGCUGUUUAAAAGUUUUUAAUCAUUAAAAUCCAGUUUUUUGUGGGUUUUAUAGACGGAUCUAUAGCCUUGUGGUGGUUCCGUUUUCUUGACUGUUUUUGCAGAAAUGGCAAUGGUUUUUGCCUCUGUAGAUUCACUGUUUCAUAUUUUGAUGGUUUUGGGAUCCCAAGUAGGAGUUGAUAUUUCUAUUUUCUUGAAGGUAUAUUCUUCAGUAAAUUGCCCAUACUGAACAUGAAAAUUGCAAUUUUCGCCUAAUGUUCCAAUGGAUGGAUCUCCCAUUUUUAUCCUUUCUUUAAAGGAUCUUUUUUGCAGUAUAACAUGUUUUUCAGGUUUCGAUUCAAUAACUUUUGGAAUUAUAGAACUUGGUUCUAUUUCUAAUGGAUGGAGCAAGAUAGUGCCUGCCAUUUUAUCUCUUGAUAUUUGGGACAGGGUAGUACCUGCCGCCUCUGUUUCGAGGUUUUACCUUUGUCUUCGCCUCUUGGCGAUUGGGGAAGGGCGGAGUCUUCUCUUACUGCUUUAGGUGCCAUUUCUCUCGUAAGAGAAUCGGGAAGAUGGUUGCACGUACCUGAGAUAUGUUCUACUUUGUUCUCAUAAUUGGAGAACCAAUUUUGCCAACGAAUUUAUCUUCUGCGAGAUAGAGACCUGUCAAAAUUAUAUUUUUUCAAUUUGACAAAAUACUUGUUGUCAGUUCUAAUUAAAAAUUUAGUAUCUAGAAAGAUCUCUGAUCUUUGAAUGGUUUUCAUUCCGACUAAAAUUUCCUUUUCCGCGGUAGAGUAGUUUAACUUUGCACCACAAAAUUUGCCAGAAUGAUACUUUACAAAUUUUUCGUCUAUCUCAUCUGGAGAUAGACUUUUGACUAUGCCUGCCCUAUAUUGGUUAGAUGCGUCAGUUUCUAGGAUAAUCUUAUCCUUUUCAAUAGGGAGAGAGAGCCUUGGAAGUUUGACACCAGCUUCCUUAACUCUUUUGAUUCUUUUUUCGUCUUCUUGGUUAAAGGACAACUUUCCUUUUUUGAGUUUUGUAUGUAGAAUUCCAGUAAGGGAAGAGAGGUUAGGUACAAAAUCUAGAAUGUAAUUAACACAACCAAGAAAUCUUUGUAGUUGCUGUCUUCCAUUUUGUUGGGGAAAUCAACGACUUUUGUUAGAACAUGGGGUUGCAUUGUGAUUUCACCAUUUUCAAUAUCGAGACCUAAGAACUUGAUCUUGUUUCUUUCAAGAAAAAUCUUCUUUUCUCCUAGGAUAAUCCCACGCCGGAUUAUCUUGUUUAUGACCUAUUCUAGGUGCAUAAGGUGUUCUUCUUUUGUUUUACUAAAAACAAGAAUAUCAUCUACAUAUAUGCCGCAAAAUUCGAAGAGAUCUCCGAAUAUUUUAUCCGUUCGUCUUUGAAAGAUGUUUGGCGCAUUUUUUAAUCCAAACGGCAUUACCAGCCAUUCAUACUGUCCUUGGGGAGUAUGAAUUCAGGAGUAAGUUUGAUUUGCCAAAAGCUUGAUUUGGCGUCAAAUUUACUGAACCAUUUUGCUCAUUUGAUUUUACUAAUCAGUUGUUGAGCAUUUGGAAUGUAAUAGUCAUCUGACUUCGUAUAGGCAUUUAGCUUUUUAUAAUUGAUCACAAUUCUAGCUUUUCUUCUUAAGGUUUCGCUGUGAUUUCUUACAUAGAAAGCUGGGCUAGAAUGAGGACUAUUAGACUUUUGAAUGAGUCCUAGUUGUAAUUGCUCUUGCAAUUGUUGUUUGAAUUCUUUUUCAUUUUCUGUGGUGUAGUACAUGGGUCUUACCCGUACUAUUGCAUGAGGGUCUUUUAAUACGAGAUGACAUCUAGUUUUAUCCUUUUCCCAAAGUAGGAUAGGAUUAAAGCUUAUGUUAUUUCUUAAUAAAGACUUAAGUUCUUCAAGGCUUUUGAGUUUUGGUUUCUCUUGAGCUUUGUGAACUUGUUCAGGAAAUUCGUUCUCAAGUAUACGUCAUUCUGUAUAGCAUUCCCUUUACUUUGUGAAUUCUGGUAUUUCUGAAACUUUAAGUUUUCGAUAUUUCUUACCGGAAUCGCGAUUGUAGUUUUUGCUGUUAUCUCACCACGCUGCGCAUGCGAGAUACUUUGAUGUUUUAGUUUUGAUGGUAGAAAUCCAUCAUUGACUACAGAGAAGGCUUGUUUCAAUCUAGAAAUAUAAUAGUGCUGUCCAUCCUCUCCUCUGCGAGAGAUCGUUUCAUUGUUUUGGAUAAACUGUUGGUAUUUUAAUAGGAAGUUGUUUCCUAGCAAAAUAUCACAACCAUGUCCAGUUGAUUGCCAUAGAAUAUAUAUGGUAAAUUUCCCUCCUCCAAUUUUGAGGGGUAUUUCUUCAGCGUACUUACCGAAGGUUACUGUACUGCCAUCUGCAGUGGUUCCUUGGAUCUACUUUUCAAGUUUUUCUUUCCAUUUUUCUUGUGGAAUUGCUCCUGGAAGAGCAAGACACAUACCUACACCAUUAUCUAUGUAUGCAUGCAAAUGAUAAGGUUGAUAACCUUUGAAUUUCCAUUCAGUGCUGAUAUAGGUGCUAUUGGGUGAUGUUUUCAAAGCUUUAGAAGAGUCAUCUUCUUCUAGACUUUCUGAAAGUGGUUUUGUCUCUUCUGAGAUAGUUAUAGAGCAGUUGCUGGGAUUUUCUUUGAUUUCAAGUUCUUGAUCCUUUAUUGGGUUUUCUUCAUUCCCUUGAAACUUUUGUACUUCAUCUAUGACUAGGUUUGCAAGAUGAGCAUUUCCAGUAUGUUUUCUUACUUCAUAGAUAAAACACUCUUGGUGGUAAGUGAAAUUCUUUAAGACGCAGUAUAACAUUAUUCCAUUAUCCAAACAUUUGCAAGUAACUUUUAUAUGUUUUCUGACAUCAAAUCUUAUUUCUGAAGGUAUGAUACUUUGGGUAUCUGGUUCUCUCCAAUUGGUGAGUUUGAGAGUUUUUAAUUUAACAAUUUCUUCUUCUUCUGAACUGAUUUCACUUUCUGUUUCAGAAUUCUGUUUCUACGGAGUAGAUUGAUUCAUUGUCUUCAUUAUCUGAAGUUUCUUCAAGUGGUAUAAGACCCAUUGUAUUGGUUUCUUCUAUCAUUUCUGAACUUUCUUAAUAAAUGAUUUUAGCCUGUUUGGUCUUGUUUUUCUUAGGGCAUUCAUUCGCAUAACGUCCUAUUUCUUCACAUAACCAACAUUUACAAGUUUUCUUGUUUUCUUUUUGUGGUCUGAAGUUCUUUGAAGCUUUCCUUUUAAAAUAUCUGUUUUCUUGCCUUUUGUCUGUCAAAGCUUUUGGAUUUUCUAAACUUACGUUUUUUCCAAGGUUUCUUAUGAAAUUUUUUGUAAGUUUUCUUUUUUGUAAGUUUUUUCUCGUGAUAGCCUCAUUGGGUUGGCAUAUUAGAGAUUCCAUAGCAGAAUCCUUCUGCUCCUUUCAUCUGUGUUUUAGCUUGCCUAGCUAAUUUAUUUUUUAUGCAAACAUCCUUGAAGUAGUCCCUAAAAAAGGAUACAAUUUCUCCUAGAAGUUCUUAAUGAGAUUAGAGAGGUAUUUAUUUUGUUGAAGAUUUAUUCAUUCCAGGGGGCUGGGAGCUUUUGAACAAACAUUUGUAAAUACCCUGUAUUUCUGACAUCUCCAAUUAUGUAAAAGUAUUUGGAAAAUUCAUUACCAUACUCUUCAAAGUAUCUAAUAUUAUAGAUUGAGAGAUUGGUCAAGUUUUUCUGAGCUUGGGUUAUUUCUUUUGAUCCUUGAUCAUUAAUAUCUCCUCAAAAUUCUUUGUAAAAGAUUGCAGCAAAAUCUGUUGCACUUCUGCUUAGUCUUAUAGACUGUUUCCAUGUGAUAUAUUCAGCUGUGUUUUUAUAGGCAUUAAACAUCUUUUGGUAUUUCCUCUAAGGGUAUGAGCAUAAUAUUCUUGAAGUUGCUCAUUGUUCCAGUUUGCUCCUACUGCAUUGCUGGCCAUAUCCAUAGUUGAUGCUCAGUCGCUAAUGGCUUUUCUUUUGUCUAGGACAUUGUCUAAAUUUAGGUAUGUCCCGCCUGAGGUUAUUGGGGCUCCCCAAUCCUUAGGUUUAGGAAUAUACUCCUUGCUCUAAGGUUCAGUAGGUUUUCCUGUGGGCAUUCCCCUUGCCUUUGGGAAUUUUUCUUCACCUUGUAGAAUGGUGAUGGGUUGGUUGAUGUAUGUUAUUGGCGUUUGUGCAGAAGAUUCACCUUGUUCCAUAGGUUCCUUUCUUGGUCCAGGACCUCCAGUUACUUCACUUUGUUCUUCAUCAUUGACGGGUUUUAUUUCUUCUUGUUGAGGUUCUAGCUGUUGUAAUCUUUUAAUCACGUAAGCUAGUCUUUCAGUAUUGGUUGUGGUAUAGAAUUCUUUCUCUAAUUCUUCAACCGUUUCAUUGUCUUUUUCUCCUAAAGUUUGGAGUUUUUCUAUUUCUCUCACCACAUUUCCGUCUUGUGCACAUAUGUGGGAAUUAAUUUUGUCUAUUAGGACAUAAUUUUUGCAUUUCGAGCAUUUUAUUGAUUCUAAAGUCUCUUUUAGAAUCAUAUGAAAUUUCUCAUUGUCAAAGUCUUCUUCAUUAUGCCAAGUUCUCUCAUUCUUCAAAUGUACUACUUGUACUAAAUCUGAAGGAAAUGUUUCUUUUUGUAUCUUGGUAGAUACUGGAAAUAUUUUGAGAUUCUUCUAUUUUUCUCGAACCCUGUAUUUUCCAUCCUUCAUGAAAAGUUAAAUCUUUCCAUUCAACAGUGCUUGGGAUGAAGGUAUGAUUUCUCGGAUGAGACUAAAGUAAUGUUGUUACUCCGGGUAUCUACCGAAGUUUGGUCUGAGGUGCGAUCGUUGUUGUCAUCAGUUUAUAGUAGAUCAUAUAUUCAAUGGUUAGGUCUCCAUAUUGCUCUUUAACAUCAGUACCAUGUGUUUGGACUUGAAGUUUAAGAGAGUUGGGAGCGUCGUCUAAGUAGACAGUGUAGUUUGGUAAAACAUUGAAGUAAGCACACUGACUAUUUAGGUCUGCUUGCACUGCCCCUAGUAGUGAUUUUUCAAAGCUUCUCAUUAUGUUCUCUUAGGACGGCCAUGACUGAGGCUCCUAAGUCUUUUCUAGCUAGAAGUGUGAAAGCUACCUGUACUGCUCCUAUGUGAAGGAAUUUGUAGCCUUCCCUUUUUGCCUUUAGGACACAUUCUUUUGUUAUUAGAUUUAUGUCUGUUUGUGCAUCUAAAGCUGGUACAGACAAUUCUAAUCUUCUGAAUCUGUGUUUAAUGUUUAGUCCAAAUCCUUCCCAUUUCGUAGAUUUGACUAUAUUUGAAUUCUGGGAUGACUUCAUCUUUCAGAGUUUUUUCUAUUUCAGAGAAUUCAAAUUCUUCUUCGUUUGCUAUAGAAGGCAAAGAUUUUGUUAAUCCAAAUCUUUCUAGCAUUUUUAGAUUUUCUUUUCUAGGAGGGUGCCAUUUGUACUUAACAGGUUCACCAAACAUUGGUGGAGGUAUGGCAGAGGUACUAAUGGUAGUAUUUGGGGGAAUCACUACCUUUUUAGCCACUUCUGAGGCUAUCUUGUCUUCACUAAUAUCUUUUUCUCAAACUUUUUGUAACAAAUUUGUUUGUUGUUUACUUGUUUCAACAAUUUGUUUAGAUAGUGUUUUAACUGCUGCGAUCAAAUAAUUAUUCUGGUGAAUAAUACUUGUGGUAUCGCCUGUCAUUUGUCCUUUAGGUUUUGUAAAACCUUCAAGGGCAUCUGUAUCUUCUGAAGAGAGGAUAUCAGAUAUUUCUUUAUCUAAUCUAUCCAUUAGAUAACAGAAUUGAUCCUAUCAACUAUAGGUUUUACUGCAGUAUUUGUUGGGAUGCUCGCUCAAUCUUUGAGGCGCGUUCUUCGGUUCUAACCUCUGUAGGUUUAGGGUUGUUAGGGUCGAAUUCAAGAGUCCUAACAAUUCUUUCUAUUUCUGUAGUUUGGUUGUCUAACCGAUCGAUAAUUUGUUUAGCAGUUUCUUGAUCAGAUUUUUGAACUUGAUUUAAAACUUGCUGAACAAUUUGUGAUAUUCUUUCUUCUCUAUACUUUUUGAAGUUUCUAACUUCUUCUUUUAGAGAUAGAAUUUCUUCUUUUAGAUAGUCUAGAUUGUUAGAUAUAUUUUCUAGAGAAACUUUGGUUCUUUCAAGUUUACUUGAAUGUAGAUCAAAUCCUUCUUUGAUUUCAAAGUUUGAGUCUUUUAACUCUGUUAAAAUUUUUUGAGUUUGGAAAGCAGUUCUUUCUUCAAAAGUUUUUAUUAGAUCAAAGACAGUAGGUCUGUCUGGAUCUAGUCCUUGUAUUCCUAGUUCUCUUUGGGUAUGGAGAACUUCGUCGUAGAUGCUAUUAGAUAGCCCUAUGACACUGGAAACUUUGUCUUUGUUCUCGUCUUCAACGUGUCUGAAGUGAGUAAAGUUUUCAAAUCCUUUAGAUUUAGCAACACAGAAAUCUUCAAAUUUUUUGAUUUUUGAUUUUUUGUUAAUAGACAUUAACAUAAAACUAACUAUGCAAUAAGAGAAAACCCAGAAGAAUCAGUUGCUAUCAGAGCCUUGUUCUUCUUAGGAAUUUAAAUGUCUAGUAGUAAAAAAUCUAAAAACACAGAAUUUUGUGUAGUUAGCAAAAAGGAUUUUAGUAAACAUACUCACUCCAGACAUAUUGAAGACGAGUAUAACAACUCUGUUGAAGACGAGUAUAACAACUCUGUUGAAGACGAGUAUAACAACUCUAUUGAAGAUGAGUAUAACAACUCUAUUGAAGACAUUGUUGAGCGCACGACAGUCCAGGGAAACUUCUUCCUUCUCUCAUGUUUGUUUGCAUGUUGCCUUGUGCACCACUUAUCCUUUGCAUGCUGCCUUGUGCACCACUGGUACAUUGCAUGCUGCCUUGUAUACCACUUGUCAUUGUGUUUGCUGCCACCCCCUUAGUUUUUACCUAUUUAUACCACCUUCACACCUCUCCAUGGGGUUUUGCUCUCUCUCUUCUCCUUGCCUUAAAAACUUACGAUUGAAACCAUACUUGGGGCUUGACAUUGAACUGAACCUGUGCAGUGCACUUUGGAUCUUCAUUUAAGUGCAAGUGAUGCUUGCGGGUUGAGGACGGGCGGUUGGGUGAAUGCGGCUGACAGUUGGAACCCCGUACUCCUGGUAGAAGCUUCUUUUGUUGUAUGUUUUGGAUGACAGUAGCCAUAUAGUUCUUGUUUGUAUUAAGUCAUGUAAUGUUUUUGGGCCUUUGAGCCUUGGCCAUAUUUGUACCUUUGGAUCUCUUUUAUAUUUAUAUGCAGUUCGGAACUUGGUGGUCCGAUUUUAUGUU